UACGGAGGGUGCAAGCGUUAUCCGGAAUCACUGGGUUUAAAGGGUGCGUAGGCGGCUUGGUAAGUCAGGGGUGAAAGCUUCCCGCUCAACGGGAGAACUGCCCUUGAUACUGUCAGGCUCGAAUUGGGUUGAGGCCGGCGGAAUGUGGCAUGUAGCGGUGAAAUGCUUAGAUAUGCCAUAGAACACCGAUUGCGAAGGCAGCCGGCCAAGCCUUGAUUGACGCUGAGGCACGAAAGCGUGGGGAGCGAAC
rnacentral:rRNA from 1 species